rnacentral:snoRNA from 1 species
UUCAAAUGAUGUUAUCAUAUAUUUGCUACUUCGGACAAGACUAUCUAUCUUGAAUGAGACAUACUAAUUAUCACCAAGAUCUCUGAUGAU